GAGUUUGAUCCUGGCUCAGGAUGAACGCUAGCGGCAGGCUUAACACAUGCAAGUCGAGGGGUAACAGAGAAAAGCUUGCUUUUUUGCUGACGACCGGCGCACGGGUGCGUAACGCGUAUGCAAUCUACCUUUUGCUAAGGGAUAGCCCAGAGAAAUUUGGAUUAAUACCUUAUAGUAUGAUGACUUGGCUUCAAGAUAUCAUUAAAGGUUACGGCAAAAGAUGAGCAUGCGUUCUAUUAGCUAGUUGGUGUGGUAACGGCAUACCAAGGCAACGAUAGAUAGGGGUCCUGAGAGGGAGAUCCCCCACACUGGUACUGAGACACGGACCAGACUCCUACGGGAGGCAGCAGUGAGGAAUAUUGGACAAUGGAGGCAACUCUGAUCCAGCCAUGCCGCGUGCAGGAAGACUGCCCUAUGGGUUGUAAACUGCUUUUAUACAGGAAGAAACACCUCUACGUGUAGAGAUUUGACGGUACUGUAAGAAUAAGGAUCGGCUAACUCCGUGCCAGCAGCCGCGGUAAUACGGAGGAUCCAAGCGUUAUCCGGAAUCAUUGGGUUUAAAGGGUCCGUAGGUGGAUAAUUAAGUCAGAGGUGAAAUCCUGCAGCUUAACUGUAGAAUUGCCUUUGAUACUGGUUGUCUUGAGUUGUUAUGAAGUGGUUAGAAUAUGUAGUGUAGCGGUGAAAUGCAUAGAUAUUACAUAGAAUACCAAUUGCGAAGGCAGAUCACUAAUAAUAUACUGACACUGAUGGACGAAAGCGUGGGGAGCGAACAGGAUUAGAUACCCUGGUAGUCCACGCCGUAAACGAUGGUCACUAGCUGUUCGGGUUUCGAUCUGAGUGGCUAAGCGAAAGUGAUAAGUGACCCACCUGGGGAGUACGUUCGCAAGAAUGAAACUCAAAGGAAUUGACGGGGGCCCGCACAAGCGGUGGAGCAUGUGGUUUAAUUCGAUGAUACGCGAGGAACCUUACCAGGGCUUAAAUGUGGUCUGACAGCUUUAGAGAUAGAGUUUUCUUCGGACAAAUCACAAGGUGCUGCAUGGUUGUCGUCAGCUCGUGCCGUGAGGUGUCAGGUUAAGUCCUAUAACGAGCGCAA
rnacentral:rRNA from 1 species